UACGUAGGGACCAAGCGUUGUUCGGAUUUACUGGGCGUAAAGGGCGCGUAGGCGGCUCGCUAAGUCGGAUGUGAAAACUCUGGGCUCAACCCAGAGCCUGCAUUCGAAACUGACGAGCUAGAGUUCUGGAGGGGAAAGCGGAAUUCCUGGUGUAGCGGUGAAAUGCGUAGAUAUCAGGAGGAACACCGGUGGCGAAGGCGGCUUUCUGGACAGAAACUGACGCUGAGGCGCGAAAGCUAGGGGAGCAAACAGG
rnacentral:rRNA from 1 species